GACGAACGCUGGCGGCGUGCCUAAUACAUGCAAGUCGAACGCAGUGGGGACGGGGGAGUAACACGUGGGUAACGUCACAUCAGAGGGGAUAACAAUUGGAAACAGGUGCUAAACCGAUACUGAUGGAUGGAUGAGUGGUGCAUUAGCUAGUUGGUGAGGUAACGGCCGACCAAGGCCACGAUGCAUAGCCGACCUGGUAGGGUGAUCGGCCACACUUGGACUGAGACACGGCCCAGACUCCUACGGGAGGCAGCAGGAGGGAAUCGUCGGCAAUGGACGAAAGUCUGACGUAGCAACGCCGCGUGAGUGAAGAAGGUUUUCGGAUCGUAAAACUCUGUUGUUAGAGAAGCGGUAUCUAACCAGAAAGCCACGGCUAACUACGUGCCAGCAGCCGCGGUAAUAC
rnacentral:rRNA from 1 species